rnacentral:rRNA from 1 species
AUAAUACUCCAUAGUCCAUGGAAUCUGGAAUGAUCCAUGGAUGAAAGUUCCGGCGCUUAAGGAUCGGUCUGCGGCCUAUCAGGUUGUAGUGGGUGUAACGUACCUACUAGCCGAUGACGGGUAUGGGCCUUGAGAGAGGGAGCCCAGAGUUGGAUUCUGAGACACGAAUCCAGGCCCUACGGGGCGCAGCAGUCGCGAAAACUUCACAAUGGGGGCAACCCCGAUGAGGGAAUUCCUAAUGCUAGCACAUUUGUGUUAGCUUUUCUUUAGCGUAGAUAACUAGAGGAAUAAGGGCUGGGAAAGACGGGUGCCAGCCGCCGCGGUAAUACCUGCAGCCCAAGUGGUGGUAGAGUUUAUUGAGUCUAAAACGUUCGUAGCCGGUUCGGUAAAUCUUUGGGUAAAUCGGAGGGCUUAACCUUCCGACUUCCGAGGAGACUGCCGAACUUGGGACCGGGAGAGGCUAGAGGUACUUCUGGGGUAGGGGUAAAAUCCUGUAAUCCUAGAAGGACCACCGGUGGCGAAGGCGUCUAGCUAGAACGGAUCCGACGGUGAGGGACGAAGCCCUGGGUCGCAAACGGGAUUAGAUACCCCGGUAGUCCAGGGUGUAACGCUGCAGACUUGGUGU